UAAGGCUACAGGAGUGAGGCAAGGGAUGCCAAUCCAGCCUUGCCCAUCUUUGAAUCCUCACCUUCUACUCGGCAAUGCUCUGUCCCAUGAGACAGGUUGUGAAGGGAAAACAUCAAAGGAGAAAAAUGACAGGGCUCUGCCCUUCACGGUAGACUCCACAAAGUUUUGUUAAAUAUUCUUUCUUCUAGUGGAUUGUUUGUAAAGAUAACUUGUACAAAUCUCAGGUAUUCUUUUUCUGGAUGAAUGGCACUGCACUGAGAACUUUGCAUUCAUGAAUCCUAAAAUUGUCAUUUUGAGGAUGAAGAAGUUGAGCCUAAGGGACAGCUCUGUGACAAGAAUGCCUGUGAAGUCAUACCCAUGUGACAGACAUGUGAUUGAGACUUAAAAGUACCCCCACUGAGCAUCUAGAAGAUGAAAAUUGCCAUAAAGUUCUGAGGCCAAGGAUACCUGAGUUCAGCAUCUUCUGGUUAAACAUCAAUCAUGUGAGCUA